rnacentral:rRNA from 1 species
UGGGGAAUUGUUCGCAAUGGGCGCAAGCCUGACGACGCAACGCCGCGUGGAGGAUGAAGAUCUUCGGGUCGUAAAGCCCUGUUGGGAGGGAAGAAACCUGACGGUACCUCCAAAGAAAGCACCGGCUAACUCCGUGCCAGCAGCCGCGGUAAUACGGAGGGUACAAACGUUGUUCGGAAUCAUUGGGCGUAAAGGGCGCGUAGGCGGCCGCGAAGGUCGGAUGUGAAAUCCCAGGGCUCAACCUUGGAAUUGCGUUCGAAACCGUGCGGCUUGAAUCCCGGAGGGAGAAGUGGAAUUCCUGGUGUAGGGGUGAAAUGCGCAGAUAUCAGGAGGAACACCCAUGGCGAAGGCAGCACUCUGGGCUGGUAUUGACGCUGAGGAGCGAAAGCAUGGGUAGCGAACAGGAUUAGAUACCCAGGUAGUCCCUGAGCGGGCUGGCAAGGCGCAU